CACAACUCCAUGGAAUUUAGCCCUCUGAGAAAACACAGUGCAUAAAAUUGUAUUACUACUGGGUAUAUGGAACAGGUGUGAGGAAGGUCGCCGACUGGUUAAAUUUUAAAGAUGAGAGACGCAAGUAUUGCAAGGUGACCUACUCCUUGGUUAGCCGCAAGCCAACGGGAAGUGAAUAUAUCGUGUAUCUAACUGCGCCCUCAACCAGCCUAGGUCGAAAACAGACAUUUUGACUCGGACAAACACAUCGAGGGAGAAUGAUGAUGAGAGGCAGUGACAAAGGUCCUCAAGGUGGUCCUCUCGGUAUGCUGAGGCAUAUUGUGAAACUUCAAAACUUUUGAGCCCAGGAGAAGAGGGGAGAGGGAGAGAGAAACAUACCAGAGAUAAGAAGGACGACUGAGCGGUGGUUGUGUCUCAGGACAAAGGAGGAUGUAAACGAGGCUCAGGCACUAAUGAGUGGUUUAGGUGGUGACCUGAGGGAGGAUCCAGGCAAUAUUAAGAGAAAUAUUGUAGAACUCUCGAACAUUCUGUGAAGGCUCCUCCCUGCGGUUCCUGUUGUAAGUUGCCUAACAACAGAAAAUUGAACUCUUUUAUGUGAUUUGUAACAACCGGUACAUAAAAGUUUUCAAUUCUUCUCGCGCGCAGUAUAUUCCGCUGCCACAUGUAGUGACGAGAGGUGCAUCUUCUCACCCGCGCUAGAACUUCUGUUUUGGGACGCCAAGGAAAUGAUGCGGACUUCCUAUAAGGGCUACACGCAAAACUUGAAGAAUAAGCUAAACGUCAGUGGUUAUCUCCUGCCAAGGAAUGAAAGACGAUGAAGUUCUGGUUUGACUUUGUCAGUCAGAAGGCCUGAUUGGAGGUUACCUGC